GAUGAACGCUGGCGGCGUGCUUAACACAUGCAAGUCGAACGGUGAAGCUCCAGCUUGCUGGAGUGGAUCAGUGGCGAACGGGUGAGUAACACGUGAGCAACCUGCCCCUGACUCUGGGAUAACAGCCGGAAACGGCUGCUAAUACCGGAUAUGCACCAUGAACGCAUGUUCUGUGGUGGGAAAGAUUUUUCGGUUGGGGAUGGGCUCGCGGCCUAUCAGCUUGUUGGUGAGGUAAUGGCUCACCAAGGCGUCGACGGGUAGCCGGCCUGAGAGGGUGACCGGCCACACUGGGACUGAGACACGGCCCGGACUCCUACGGGAGGCAGCAGUGGGGAAUAUUGCACAAUGGGCGAAAGCCUGAUGCAGCAACGCCGCGUGAGGGAUGACGGCCUUCGGGUUGUAAACCUCUUUUAGCAGGGAAGAAGCGAGAGUGACGGUACCUGCAGAAAAAGCGCCGGCUAACUACGU
rnacentral:rRNA from 1 species